UAGGGAAUCUUCCACAAUGGACGAAAGUCUGAUGGAGCAACGCCGCGUGAGUGAAGAAGGUUUUCGGAUCGUAAAACUCUGUUGUUAGAGAAGAACAUGCAGGAGAGUAACUGUUCUUGUAUUGACGGUAUCUAACCAGAAAGCCACGGCUAACUACGUGCCAG
rnacentral:rRNA from 1 species